rnacentral:rRNA from 1 species
UGGGGAAUAUUGGGCAAUGGGCGAAAGCCUGACCCAGCGACGCCGCGUGAGGGAAGAAGGUCUUCGGAUUGUAAACCUUUGUAGACAGGGACGAAGAAAUGACGGUACCUGUAAAGUAAGCCACGGCUAACUACGUGCCAGCAGCCGCGGUAAUACGUAGGUGGCAAGCGUUAUCCGGAUUUAUUGGGUGUAAAGGGUGAGUAGGCGGGCUGACAAGUCAGAUGUGAAAUGUUCGGGCUUAACCUGAGAACUGCAUUUGAAACUGCCAGUCUUGAGUGUCGGAGGGGUAAUCGGAAUUCCCGGUGUAGCGGUGAAAUGCGUAGAGAUCGGGAGGAACACCAGUGGCGAAGGCGGAUUACUGGACGACAACUGACGCUGAUACACGAAAGCGUGGGGAGCAAACAGGAUUAGAUACCCUGGUAAU